rnacentral:lncRNA from 1 species
CAAUUACGCUGACGACUGGGGUUCUGAACUCUGAGCUUUGAAGACCCCCAGAAACACUUUCUGGCAGGCUACAGAAACAUCAAGGAGAUUGGGUAGAAACAGGAGGGCCAGCUGAUGCUGAGAAAAAUUUGAGGCUCUCGUAUAUACAUAACAUGUGAAUCCACUACUGGGAUGGUUGCCUAGCAACAUUAUUCCCCUCCCCCUCAAGCCUUCUUGUGACAGCCUCACUUCUUUCCUAUUCUGAUAUUAGCUUAAUGUUUUUUUAUGAAUCAGAUGUACAAUAUUUUGGGAAUGGUGUAUAGCAUAAGAGAGUAGAGAGUAGCCUGAUUUACUAGUAUCAUUUGGAAAAUAUACAAUCCAGGCAGCUCUUUUAAAAAGUUAAUGGUCCAUUUUUGGCCAUGUUACAAAAGUAGAUGUUUAGAUUACAAGAAGAUUUUUUAAAAAGGAAAUACCUAAGGAUCCUGCCCUGCGAAGGCCCCAUUCUGCCGCUCUCGUAUUCAUAGCAGAUGUUUAGGUGGACGUUUCCGGUUGUGCAAGGACCCGGUGAUUUGCCUCAGGUGGACGUAAAAGCCAGUCCACCCCAGGUCCUUUCUCCUGACCAGAGAAGCGUAAAGCUGGAAGGUGCAGGAAAACAUCCAGUUGCUGAGCUGACUUCACUGAAGAAGCCCGGAGAGCUGAGCGCAUUUUCAGUCUCCCAAAUACCAGUCGAUUCUGCAAAAGGGCCCAUGAAGCCCGAGGUGGACUUCGUUGGCCUUGCCUUCAUCAAAGAGAGGCUCGAGGAGUGCACAGCUGCCAGCUCUUGAGGACAGGCUGCUGUGAGCAGCAACACAGCUGAGCUCCCUUGGCUUCAUGGUGGGAGAUUCAUAAGCUGCCUGGAGAGUCGUGUGUUGGUGUUCUGGCCAGUAGUCCUCGCUGAGCUGCCGGCCAGCUCUGCAUCAGCUGCCAGACCUGUGAGUGAGGAAGCUUCAUGAAGACCCCGGCCUCGGUCCCCAUCCGACAGCAACCUCACCAGACACGCUGAACGAGAACCGCCUCGCUGACCCCAGUCAAGCCCUGGAGAUGAGAGAGAUUUUCCUCCUACUCUUCCUCCUGAUGAAGAUUGCUGCUGUUUUAUGCUGCUAAGUUUGGGCUGGCUUAGCACACAGCAGUAGAUAGCUUAAACACUGAUCAAUGGCAUAUUUCUAAAAAUUGUCAAAGGCCUUACACUAAUUUCCUCUUAAUAUUCUUUUUCUCUCUCCUUUACCCUUCCUAUUUCUGUAAGAAAGCGUCCUGAUGGUAAAGCGGGGCAGUAGUGCAGAAGGUGAUUUUUGACCAAGCUCUGCCCCCGAGGGCAAUGAUCAUUAGUGGGCGUCGCCAGGUUGUAGGACUGCGUCCAUCUCUUGUCUCUCAGAAACUCUCCAUGUGCGCAGGGACAGGGUAGGACACCCGUCCAUACGUCUGGGGUCUUUGUUUCUCGAGCUGUGACACGUACUUCGGCUCAGUGUCUCUCCCUGACUCUUACUGGACUUGGGGCCGGGUUUUGGGGUAUCACUUGGCAGUGUGCAAACACCACGUCUCUGAGGGACGUCUGUGUGAGGCAGAGGAAAGCUCUAGAAGGUGGGGCAGGAGGAAAAGUGAGAAAUCACGCAGGAGUGAGGAAUGUUAACUCCCAUUGUACCUGUUGUCACAUUAUUCUAAAACAUAAUGUAUGUUUUGCCCUGUGAAUAAGACUCAAAGACUUUCAGAAUCACCUUUCUUACCUUAAAGAGUGAGUUUUCUGUAUUCAAUGUGUAAUUAUAUGAAAGUCGUGGCUAUUUGACAUCUGGGAUGGACUCAGCAGUACCUCACUCAGACAUCGCCGCACCUUCUGAAGAAAGAAACUUGUUGGCCUCUUUAGAGUCUUGAGAAUGAGAGGAAGAAUUGAGCGUUAGUGGCGUCCUCUAGGAAAAUGGAGAAGAGGAAAGAGGAGAGCCACUGCCACGGGGCUACCCUCCCUGAUGAGGAUUCUGCCCCAGUCCCUUGCGCCAGCGAACAGGCAGGACACAGCAGGACCUGGGGGCUGCCUGCCUGGCCGGCCCCCUGCCAGCCGCGGAGGCACUACUGGCAGCAGGGGCUCCGGUCAGCUCUAGGAAAGGAGGAAAGGAGGCAGGACGGUGCCCAGUCGGCUUUCCCCCACGUUCUCUGUUUCUCCCAGGCUUAGAGAAGUGCUGUGCUGCUGCCAUGGCAAGACAAGCCGACAGCAGAGUUUGGCAUUUAUUGAGCACAUACUGAGUGCGAGGCUCCUGGGGACCAGGAUGAAUAAAGCACACUGUCCCCCCGACCCUGAGACAGGCUCCUGCAAGUGGUCUCUGUGUAACGUGGGAGGGAGCGAGUGCAGGGCUGUCCGAGACUUGGGGAUGAGAGGGGCUGCUACUGAUGGAGCCAAAUGCUGGCUGUUCAAAACCCUGCGCAGCCGUUCUUCCUCAUUUCACUGCUUGCUGUUAUACUCCUGUCUGGUCGCUGACCGCUUUUUAGGGUGUUCUGCACCACUUCCCAGGAGUGUCACAGAAGGGACUCGUCCAUGUAACUAAAUAAAGAAUCGUGUUAACUGGCAUCUACUGAGGGCUUUCUGGGUGAGACACCGUAUGAAAACGUCUAUCAAUAUUUUCUUGUUUAAUCCUCCUAACAACCUUACUAAGAAGGUUCUCUUGUCCUUGUUUUACAGAUGUGCCAAAUGAGGCACGGAGGGUUUCACUCACGUGCUUAAGUCUCACUGCUGGCACGUGGCGGAGCCAGGAUUCGGACUCAGUUCCAGAGCCCACAUUCUAUAUAUGUCUGCUUCCAAGUGAACACUGCUGUCCCUCCUAAUCAUGAGAUUUUAUGCUCAAGUAAUAAACUCUCCGUUGGACCAAUUCUUUCUGAGCAGGAAUGCUGUGUGCCUGAGCCCUGCACGUACAGAUCAGACCCCAGCCUCUCCCAUGCCUCCCUGGGAGUCCCAGGCUGGUGGCCCUCCGGGGUGGCUCCCGAGAAGGAAGCCGGGUGUGGCCUUAUGCCCGUGCGACGGAGCCCUCACCUUCUUAGGACCUGGAACAAGGGGUCACAUUGCGCCCACCCUGAAACUCGUCAAAUUUUGGAUCAAUAUCCUUUUCUUUUUGGCGGAUGUCGGGAUUUGAUUUGUCCUUGGUACCUGUUAGGGUCGCAGUCACACCAGAGCCCACUCCUUCUGUGAGAAUCCCCGUUGGCUUGGUCCUAACCGGCUGCUGUACUUCAGAAAAAAAUUUUACAUUUUUACACCAAAAUAUGUAAGUUGGAAAGCAAGGAUUUUCCAAAUACUCUUCCUGGACGUUUUCAGUUCACAUACCCUAAGCCACGAAAAAGAAAAAGAAGUUACUGCCUGCCUGUGGUAGGUCCCUUCAGAAGCAGCCGGUGUGAUCAGUUUCUGGGUGUCCUUUGGAGAUGGUCAAUGUACGUAGCAGCAAGGAUUGUGAAUGAAAAUACGUACAGAGCCCACUCACAUCGGUGAGGCAGGAUGGCAGGAGGCAAUUGGAAGCCAUACAGAUGGCAGAGAGUGUCUCAGCCACGAAGACAGCCCCUGCACACUCCAGCUGUCUGUGCUCCACAGGAUGACAUCGAUGAGGCUGGAGCGGCCACCUGUUAAAGGAGAAAUCCAGAAUGUUCUUGUGAAAUCUUUCAAUUUUAAAGUGUUGAUGGCUGCCAAAUCUUAUAACCUUU